rnacentral:rRNA from 1 species
GACGAACGCUGGCCGCGUGCUUAACACAUGCAAGUCGAACGGUAAGGCCCUUCGGGGUACACGAGUGGCGAACGGGUGAGUAACACGUGGGUGAUCUGCCCUGCACUUCGGGAUAAGCCUGGGAAACUGGGUCUAAUACCGGAUAGGACCCUGGGAUACAUGUCCUGGGGUAGAAAGCUGUUGCGGUGUGGGAUGGGCCCGGGGCCUAUCAGCUUGUGGGUUGGGUGAUGGCCUACCAAGGCGACGACGGGUAGCCGGCCUGAGAGGGUGACCGGCCACACUGGGACUGAGAUACGGCCCAGACGCCUACGGGAGGCAGCAGUGGGGAAUAUUGCACAAUGGGCGCAAGCCUGAUGCAGCGACGCCGCGUGAGGGAUGACGGCCUUCGGGUUGUAAACCUCUUUCAGCACCGACGAAGCGCAAGUGACGGUAGGUGCAGAAGAAGGACCGGCCAACUACGUGCCAGCCGCCGCGGUAA